rnacentral:sRNA from 1 species
CCAAUAGAACUUCGUGUAGCCACGGUAAUUUUAAUCACGUAGUUGGUUUUAAUCUCACACGACAGAACAAUUUUGACAAAUCAGAUUCAAUGAAUAUGAAAAGAAAAACAACCAUUAACUAAAACAAAACAAAAAAAUGGGUGUAAAUAAAUUGAAAAGAUACAAAAAGAUGCAUACCAGCAAAGGAACUAAAUUACCAAGGGAUGUGUUGAGAAUGAAAAGCGACAGAAAGUUCAAUUGCAGAAUAGCUACAUUAAAGUGCAAUUUUCCCUCAACAGUCAAAACGUUGAAUCAAAAUACUUUCUCAAGAGCAAACCAUCUCCAAAGAAAAAGAAAAUCUGGAUAUAGUCUUGGUCAAAGCAGGUGUUUGUUUUCAAGUGUACACCGCAACGAUAAAUUGGGUUCACCUCCAGAAAAAGGA